UUUUUUUUUACACACACACAYGAUACAGUAUGGCAGUUUAGAAUGUCAUUCAUUUGCRAUAACAUGCAAUCAAUACAACUUUCAACAAUGGAUCUCUUGGCUCUCGCAUCGAUGAAGAACGCAGCGAAAUGCGAUACGUAAUGUGAAUUGCAGAAUUCAGUGAAUCAUCGAAUCUUUGAACGCACCUUGCACCCCUUGGCAUUCCGAGGGGUACACCCGUUUGAGUGUCGUGAAAUUCUCAAACCUUCUUGGUUUCUAUGACCAAGAAGGCUUUGGAUUUGGAGGUCUUUUGCUGGCUUUGCGAAAAGUCAGCUCCUCUCAAAUGCAUUAGUGGGGUCCUCUUUGCCGAUCUCUAGGCGUUGAUAAGAUGUUUCUACGUCUUGGGAUCUGCUCUGUUUGAUGGGAACUCGCUUCUAACCGUCUCACUAUAAGGAGACAUUGUUCGAGCUUGCUCGACCC
rnacentral:rRNA from 1 species